UCCACGGUCUCCCUCUGAUGCCGAGCCGAAGCUGGACUGUACUGCUGCCAUCUCUGCUCACUGCAACCUCCCUGCCUGAUUCUCCUGCCUCAGCCUGCCGAGUGCCUGCGAUUGCUUGUGCGCGCCGCCACGCCUGACUGGUUUUCGUAAUUUUUUGGUGGAGAUGGGGUUUCGCUGUGUUGGCUGGGCUGGUCUCCAGCUCCUAACCGCGAGUGAUCCGCCAGCCUCGGCCUCCCGAGGUGCCGGGAUUGCAGACGGAGUCUGGUUCACUCAGUGUUCAAUGGUGCCCAGCCUGGAGUGCAGCGGCGUGAUCUCAGCUCCCUACAACCUCCACCUCCCAGCCGCCUGCCUUGGCCUCCCAAAGUGCCAAGAGUGCAGCCUCUGCCCGGCCGCCACCCCGUCUGGGAAGUGAGGAGCGUCUCUGCCUGGCCGCCCAUCGUCUGGGACAUGAGGAGCCCCUCUGCCUGGCUGCCCAGUCUGGAAAGUGAGGAGCGUCUCUACCCGGCCGCCAUCCCAUCUAGGAAGUGAGGAGCGCCUCUUCCCGGCCGCCAUCCCAUCUAGGAAGUGAGGAGCGGGGUCUCUGCCCAGCCGCCCAUCGUCUGAGAUGUGGGGAGUGCCUCUGCCCCGCCACCCCGUCUGGGAUGUGAGGAGCACCUCUGCCCAGCCGCGACCGCAUCUGGGAGCAGAAUUAACACCACAUAUACAUGAAUGCUGCCAAGAAUUAGACCUUGCAUCCUUUGGCGAAAUGACCCAAGUUGUUCCUGGAGUCAUAUCCAGGAGAUAAUCAACUAAGAGCCAGGCACCCCUUCAAGUCCGAAAAGAAACAUUUUACAACCUGCUCUCUCUGAAGUCUGCUAUCUGACAGCUUCCUCUGCACAAUAAAACUUGGUCUCCACAAUUCUUUAUCCUAACCUGAACAUUUCCUUUCAUCCCAGGUCUUCAGAAAAACUCAACCAAUUGUCAACCAGAAAAUGUUUUAAUUUACCUGUACCCUGGAAGCCCCCGCUUUGAGUUGUCCCACCUUUCUGAACCAAACCAAUGAUGUACUACUUAAAUGUAUUUGAUUGAUGUCUCAUGCCUCCCUACAAUAUAUAAAACCAAGCUGUAACCCAACCACCAUGGACAUAUGUUCUCAGGGCCUCCUGAGGGCUGUGUCAUGGGCCAUGGUCACUCAUAUUUGGCU
rnacentral:lncRNA from 1 species